rnacentral:rRNA from 1 species
UACAGAGGUCCCAAGCGUUGUUCGGAUUCAUUGGGCGUAAAGGGCGCGUAGGCGGCGUGACAAGUCAGUUGUGAAAUCUCCGGGCUUAACUCGGAACGGUCAAGUGAUACUGUCGGACUAGAGUACAGAAGGGGCAACUGGAAUUCUCGGUGUAGCGGUGAAAUGCGUAGAUAUCGAGAGGAACACCUGCGGCGAAGGCGGGUUGCUGGGCUGAUACUGACGCUGAGGCGCGAAAGCCAGGGGAGCGAACGGG